rnacentral:lncRNA from 9 species
AACAAGGUGCAUCCGUUAUACGUGUGUGCCCACAUCCCUUCUUUUCCAGGCUCUUUUCCCGAACGCUGGGUGGCGUUCCCCGUGCUGUACGGCAGGUCCCCGUCGCCCCUGCCUUCCGUGGAGAGAGAUUCUGGGGAACCGUGGCCAGGACGAGACGGAUCUGCAGACGCCUCGCCUCUCGGGAGCCCGUUCCCCUUCUGUCCUCUCGGAGGUCCCCGGUGCCACCUCCCGGAAGUAGCUCUGAUCUGCUCGGGGUCACUGAAGACUCCUGUCGCCGGUUCGGGAACGUGACGUCAAGGGAACGAUCUGAGAGGAAACCUCACGUCCUACCCUCCUUUCACCCCGAGUACGUCUGGGUUCCUCCACGCGGCUGCGAGUACCGACCUGGUUCCUCCCUCGGCUUCGAUGGUCCCCCUGCCCACCUCCCAGCCGUGGGCGUUUGCUCGUCCGCUCACCUGCCGGAGGCACCUGGGCUGCUGUGGACAGAACUGAUCCUCUGGGACCCAGUCCUGCGGGACGACGUUUCUGUUCCUCUUGGUUCUUAGCAUAUGUGAAGCAGAAACAGACUCAGAGACAUGAAGAACAGACUUCUUUGCAUGGCUGAGCCACCUGCUGUAUAGCAGAAAAUUACCACAAUUAACGCAGGAAUUAACACAAUC